rnacentral:rRNA from 1 species
CCGAAUGGGGAAACCCAGUGUGAUUCGUCACACUAUCAUUAACUGAAUCCAUAGGUUAAUGAGGCGAACCGGGGGAACUGAAACAUCUAAGUACCCCGAGGAAAAGAAAUCAACCGAGAUUCCCCCAGUAGCGGCGAGCGAACGGGGAGGAGCCCAGAGCCUGAAUCAGCAUGUGUGUUAGUGGAAGCGUCUGGAAAGGCGCGCGAUACAGGGUGACAGCCCCGUACACAAAAGCGCAUGUGCUGUGAGCUCGAUGAGUAGGGCGGGACACGUGGUAUCCUGUCUGAAUAUGGGGGGACCAUCCUCCAAGGCUAAAUACUCCUGACUGACCGAUAGUGAACCAGUACCGUGAGGGAAAGGCGAAAAGAACCCCGGCGAGGGGAGUGAAAAAGAACCUGAAACCGUGUACGUACAAGCAGUGGGAGCNNAUAGGGGAGCCGGAGGGAAACCGAGUCUUAAUUGGGCGUUAAGUUGCAGGGUAUAGACCCGAAACCCGGUGAUCUAGCCAUGGGCAGGUUGAAGGUUGGGUAACACUAACUGGAGGACCGAACCGACUAAUGUUGAAAAAUUAGCGGAUGACCUGUGGCUGGGGGUGAAAGGCCAAUCAAACCGGGAGAUAGCUGGUUCUCCCCGAAAGCUAUUUAGGUAGCGCCUCGUGAAUUCAUCUCCGGGGGUAGAGCACUGUUUCGGCUAGGGGGCCAUCCCGGCUUACCAACCCGAUGCAAACUGCGAAUACCGGAGAAUGUUAUCACGGGAGACACACGGCGGGUGCUAACGUCCGUCGUGAAGAGGGAAACAACCCAGACCGCCAGCUAAGGUCCCAAAGUCAUGGUUAAGUGGGAAACGAUGUGGGAAGGCCCAGACAGCCAGGAUGUUGGCUUAGAAGCAGCCAUCAUUUAAAGAAAGCGUAAUAGCUCACUGGUCGAGUCGGCCUGCGCGGAAGAUGUAACGGGGCUAAACCAUGCACCGAAGCUGCGGCAGCGAACGUAUCACCCAAGACAACUUUACGGAGUUGACGAUUGACGGAGCGAAGCGACGUCAAAGCGUUCAUUAAAGUCGAGUUGGCUUAGGGAUACGUUCGUUGGGUAGGGGAGCGUUCUGUAAGCCUGUGAAGGUGUGUCGUGAGGCAUGCUGGAGGUAUCAGAAGUGCGAAUGCUGACAUAAGUAACGAUAAAGCGGGUGAAAAGCCCGCUCGCCGGAAGACCAAGGGUUCCUGUCCAACGUUAAUCGGGGCAGGGUGAGUCGACCCCUAAGGCGAGGCCGAAAGGCGUAGUCGAUGGGAAACGGGUUAAUAUUCCCGUACUUGGUGUUACUGCGAAGGGGGGACGGAGAAGGCUAUGUUGGCCGGGCGACGGUUGUCCCGGUUUAAGCGUGUAGGUGUGUGUUCCAGGUAAAUCCGGUUCACUUUAACACUGAGGCGUGACGACGAGGCACUACGGUGCUGAAGCAACAAAUGCCCUGCUUCCAGGAAAAGCCUCUAAGCAUCAGGUAACAUCAAAUCGUACCCCAAACCGACACAGGUGGUCAGGUAGAGAAUACCAAGGCGCUUGAGAGAACUCGGGUGAAGGAACUAGGCAAAAUGGUGCCGUAACUUCGGGAGAAGGCACGCUGACACGUAGGUGAAGUGAUUUACUCAUGGAGCUGAAGUCAGUCGAAGAUACCAGCUGGCUGCAACUGUUUAUUAAAAACACAGCACUGUGCAAACACGAAAGUGGACGUAUACGGUGUGACGCCUGCCCGGUGCCGGAAGGUUAAUUGAUGGGGUCAGCGCAAGCGAAGCUCCUGAUCGAAGCCCCGGUAAACGGCGGCCGUAACUAUAACGGUCCUAAGGUAGCGAAAUUCCUUGUCGGGUAAGUUCCGACCUGCACGAAUGGCGUAAUGAUGGCCAGGCUGUCUCCACCCGAGACUCAGUGAAAUUGAACUCGCUGUGAAGAUGCAGUGUACCCGCGGCAAGACGGAAAGACCCCGUGAACCUUUACUAUAGCUUGACACUGAACAUUGAGCCUUGAUGUGUAGGAUAGGUGGGAGGCUUUGAAGUGUGGACGCCAGUCUGCAUGGAGCCGACCUUGAAAUACCACCCUUUAAUGUUUGAUGUUCUAACGUGGACCCGUAAUCCGGGUUGCGGACAGUGUCUGGUGGGUAGUUUGACUGGGGCGGUCUCCUCCUAAAGAGUAACGGAGGAGCACGAAGGUUGGCUAAUCCUGGUCGGACAUCAGGAGGUUAGUGCAAUGGCAUAAGCCAGCUUGACUGCGAGCGUGACGGCGCGAGCAGGUGCGAAAGCAGGUCAUAGUGAUCCGGUGGUUCUGAAUGGAAGGGCCAUCGCUCAACGGAUAAAAGGUACUCCGGGGAUAACAGGCUGAUACCGCCCAAGAGUUCAUAUCGACGGCGGUGUUUGGCACCUCGAUGUCGGCUCAUCACAUCCUGGGGCUGAAGUAGGUCCCAAGGGUAUGGCUGUUCGCCAUUUAAAGUGGUACGCGAGCUGGGUUUAGAACGUCGUGAGACAGUUCGGUCCCUAUCUGCCGUGGGCGCUGGAGAACUGAGGGGGGCUGCUCCUAGUACGAGAGGACCGGAGUGGACGCAUCACUGGUGUUCGGGUUGUCAUGCCAAUGGCACUGCCCGGUAGCUAAAUGCGGAAGAGAUAAGUGCUGAAAGCAUCUAAGCACGAAACUUGCCCCGAGAUGAGUUCUCCCUGAGACUUAGAGUCUCCUGAAGGAACGUUGAAGACGACGACGUUGAUAGGCCGGGUGUGUAAGCGCAGCGAUGCGUUGAGCUAACCGGUACUAAUGAACCGUGAGGCUUAACCUUACAACGCCGAAG